GCCCGCAUAGCUCAGUCGGUAGAGCAUCAGACUUUUAUAGGUCAACCUUAUAAGUAAUCUGAGGGUCGCGGGUUCGAGUCCCUCUGCGGGCG
rfam:Octopus bimaculoides Scaffold117746_contig_3, whole genome shotgun sequence.